UCAAUCAAUCAAUCAAAACCUUUAUUGCAUUAGCAUACAGCCAUAGCAAAAUAAGACAAAAAUACUAGAGACAAGCAACCAAACAAAAUUCAAAGCAAUAUUACUGGCGUAAUGACAUUUAAAUUACCCUAAGACAAUAAUGUAAAGAUUUAGUUGCCAGCGCCAAGAAUCCAAAAUGCGGAUGUAUAUAAAACAUAAAAUGGCCCCAAAAUAGGCUCGGCACAUUGGGUUGAAAAAGUAAUAAAAAGAAUUAAAACAGGUCCAGGUCUAGGACACACUACCCAGUCAGAGUAGCCCUGAGUUUCAGAGCCUGCACUAUAAAGAUUGCCACCCCACGUGAAAUUUGGGGAUUUGCGUCCACAAGAAGCGAUUUCAAACAGUCUUCCUUAGAUGUAAUGGUGGACGGGAUCAAGAGGAGGAGCUUAGGUCUUAUUGGCUCAUAAAUAGGGCAGUAGAAAAAGAAAUGUAUGAAGUCCUCUACUUCAUUCAUUGUGCAUGGACAUAAACGCUGAGUAAUAGGGGUCUUAGAGUAAAUCCCCUGCAGGAAGGCCGUGGGUAUAGAAUGGAAACGGGCCAUAGUAAACGCUCUUCUCAAAUUGGGCUCCGUCAGGUCUAUCAAGUAGUUGGCAAGUGAUCUUACCACUUUCACUUUAGGGAGCCACAUGGAGAGGCGAGCUGUAAUGGACUGUGCCCGGUCCAUGGCCUCGUCUCUUGUAAGAAUCCAGGCCCGGAUUUUAUGUUGGUCCCAAGAUGACAGCGUGUCGAGAUCUGGGAGGGAGUAGCGUGCAGUAAUAGUCUCCAUGGCCUUGGACCAUUUGUUG